UCCAUGAUCAGCUAGCGUUUGCCCAGGGCAUGAGGGCAAAAAGAUCCAAAAGUUCUUAAAGUUAGGAGGAGACCGAAUAUCGAGUCGAGAUGGAGAUUGUUGAAAAAAAUAUCUUGAGAUUCAGUCAAUAAUAAGUCCAAAACAAAGUUUAGGACAACGAACGGAGUCCAACGAGUCCAAGAACAGUCCAAACAAAGUCCAGACGAAAAAAUUGCAUGCGAAAGAAGAUCAGGAGGUAGACGGAUACGGUAGACCAGCCCUAC
rnacentral:lncRNA from 1 species